rnacentral:lncRNA from 1 species
CCUAUUCCCAUAAUCUCUUUGCCAGGCAGUGGGGCAAUUCUUCAAUUUCCAGUGCAUACUGUCUAUACUUCCAAUCAUGCCUGGAAAACCUCGAGCUUCAGCUUUUUGUAGAAGCCUUUGAAGGUCCCUGGGGUAGGUUUGCGAAGGUAGUCCCUGGUGUAGAGAGUUUCGAUUGCAUCACAGAAUCUGACCAAGCUCUCUAGAGUAGUGGAUUUCCC